GGAAGUUCUUUGUCAAUCAGUGUUAUUUAUGAUGUGGUCAUAAAUCUUACCGCCGUAGCCUUCACUGAGCAAAUACGCGCUCACUGACAGGUGAUCUAGAGGAAUAUUUUCCUGAUACUGAAGAAGAUUCUUGUCAAAAUGAAGGGAAAUAGAUGAUGGCAUUCCAUGCAUUCCACAGGUACUGAAGAUAAGCAACAGAAGAACUGAAGAUUUGGGGCUGAAUGUGCAUAGAAGUACAUGCAUUCAAGUCCUGGGUUAACAACUUUUCCAAACGUCAUGAGAGCAGCAGUUUGGAGACACAGGACAAAUGCUCCUCCAAAGAGGUGGAGGAAGAGAAGAAAACCCUUCCCAUCUGCACUGAGAGCAUGGAAGCCAAGUUUCUGCCUGGAACGAUCUGAGGGGCUGAUGUACAGUUAUCCAGAAAUACAGCAUUUCAUCAUUUACUUCAAAGGACUACCACGGAAAGAGAGCAAAAAUUUUCCAUCCUUAAUUCAUAGUGGCAGUGAUCCACAGUUUCAGUUCAUGUUCCAGUUUGGAAACUCU
ensembl:lncRNA